UAACAAGGAUUCCCCUAGUAACGGCGAGUGAAGCGGGAAGAGCUCAAAUUUAAAAUCUGGCUUGCUUGCAAGUCCGAGUUGUAGUCUGAAGAAGCGUUUUCCAUGAAAGCUGAGGCACAAGUCCUUUGGAACAGGGCAUCAUAGAGGGUGAGAAUCCCGUCCAUGGUCUCAUGCAUUUCAUUUUGUGAUACGUUUUCUAAGAGUCAGGUUGUUUGGGAAUGCAGCCUAAAAUGGGUGGUAAAUUUCAUCUAAAGCUAAAUAUUGGCGAGAGACCGAUAGCGAACAAGUACCGUGAGGGAAAGAUGAAAAGAACUUUGAAAAGAGAGUUAAAAAGUACGUGAAAUUGUUGAAAGGGAACCGUUUGAAGCCAGUCUUGCUUACUUGUGAUCAAUCUUAGCUUCGGCUUGGAUGCACUCUCAAGUUAUGCAGGUCAACGUCAGUUUGAGAGGUGGGAAAAAAGUUUGAGGAAUGUGGCCUUCGGGUGUUAUAGCCUCUUACUAAAUACCAUCUCCUGGACUGAGGCUCGCAGCAAAAAUGUGGGCUGGUUUGCUCCUGAGGUGAAUCAUUAUUAAGACAGCUUGCUGACUUAGUUUUGUGGAUCUUCACGGUAGGCUAGCUUCUAAUUUGCUUAGGUCGUUGACAUAAUGGCUUUAAAUGA
rnacentral:rRNA from 1 species